AGUGAACGCUGGCGGCAGGCCUAACACAUGCAAGUCGAGCGGCAGCGCGGGUGUAGCAAUACAUCUGGCGGCGAGCGGCGGACGGGUGAGGAAUACAUCGGAAUUUACCCAAUCGUGGGGGAUAACGUAGGGAAACUUACGCUAAUACCGCAUGAACUGGAGACAGCAAAGCGGCGGACCGAAAGGCGUCGCGCGGUUGGAUGAGCCGAUGUCGGAUUAGCAGUUGGCGGGGUAAAGGCCCACCAAGGCGACGAUCCGUAGCUGGUCUGAGAGGAUGGCCAGCCACAUUGGGACUGAGACACGGCCCAGACUCCUACGGGAGGCAGCAGUGGGGAAUAUUGCGCAAUGGACGAAAGUCUGACGCAGCGACGCCGCGUGUGGGAUGACGGUCUUCGGAUUGUAAACCACUGUCGGGAGGGACGAA
rnacentral:rRNA from 1 species